GAUUUAACUAACUGCAAUCAAGGCAGCAAGAAAGCUCUAGUUUGGAACAGGAAAGCCAUCCACUUGAGGAUUUUGCCAGAGUCCAACAUGCAGAAAGACGCAGCUCAGGUGCCUCACCUGACGGUUAACCUAGAAACACCUGAUCCUUUCUCUGGCUCUCCAGCAUGGGAAAAAGGAUCGGGCUGCGGGGCCAUGCCUGUGCCUUCAAAACUGUCCAAGGAUCUCGGAGCUCUGAGGAAUCCGACCAGGAGGAACCUUUCCAUGCACGUAUUUUGGCCUUGAGGGGAAAGCCUCCGCUUUAGUUGGAUCCCUUCUGGGCAGGCCUCCUGCCUCUUAGUCCUUCUCUCUUACCUUUCCAACCAGCCUCUUGGUGCGAGCAGACCGAGGCCCGAGAGCAGGGGCGGGGUGGCGGGUGUGGCAGGUACUGCUCCAGCGGCCUCCGUGACGGGGCUGCCAGGCUGGUAGGUGCGCGCCGUGGAAGAAGGGGCGCAUGGCCAGGCGCUCCCGCCCGGGCUCGAGUCCCCACCUCUGCCCGGUAGCCUCCUGCCCCGACUGGACGAGCGGGGGAGCCGGCGGAGAGUGUCUCAACUUGGUGCCCUGAGGCAUUUUUUCCACGCGUCAGCGAGCCGGGCUCUCGGAGUCCCGGGCGGCGGGCGGUGAGAGUUGGGAGACAGAGCGGAGGUGCGAGCUCCGGGAGACCCAAGGAGUAAAGCAGCCCAGAGAGGGGACGGCGGUGGGGCCCCCGAGAAGCGACUGUGGAUGAAGGAGUGCCUCACGGCGAUCGCCCCCGGGGUACUGACCUGCAGUGGGGACCGUGGGACGGACCUGAGGUUCUGCUCCACACUGGUCACUGAUCAGACAAGCCCAGGCAGAGCCCCACAUCUGGUCGCAGCAUCUCAGGGAUGGACAAGGUCAGCAGCAUGUAGACCCAGGACCAAGGUCACAACCCAGGCGUGUCAGCUGAGGCACCAGUGGUGGCCUUGAGCCCUGGGACCAGUGGCGACGAUGACACAGACAGACUCCUGGUGGACUGAUUGGAGGAGCUGAUGGGAGCCUCUGACCCAGGAGGCCUUGCUCAAAGUGCAUGUGAAGAGGCAGAAUCCUCCUCAUGUCUUCCUGCAGCCAAAAGGCGGAAAAGGGACACCAAGGGCAAGAGACCGAGGAAACCCUGAGUGGACAAAGAGGAGGUUUGGAAAAUGUGAACCCUCAUGGCUUUCACAAGCCAGGAGCUGCUGGACUGUUACGAAGUGUAUCACCAGCCAGCCUUCCCCAGGGCAAACCAAAGACAUCUGAUCCAGAGUAUGGCCGGCUCGCUGAUAGCCCAGAACAUAGUCAUUGCCAUGUCCUGUGUGGCCAAGAUCUUCAUUGGGGAGGUAGUCGCAGAGGCCCUGGAUAUGUGUCAGAAGCGGGGGGAAAUGCCCUCACUCCAACCCAAGCACCCAAGGGAGGCUGUCCAGAGGUUAUACUCCAAGGGGAGAAUGCCCAGCACCAUGCACAAGAUGAUCGUGUUCUUCUAGGCCAAGGCCAGGAAGGGCUUGUCCCCUAGGAAACCAUCCCACUGCCAGAGUCCACCACCUAACUUUCUGACUUACUCUCAAGGUACAGUUAUACAGGCCAUGAGUUAUUUUCCAAGGGAGAGACAGGUAAGUCCAUGGAACAGAGUCAUGUGCCUGGAAAUAAACCAGCAACGGGAGAGUCCCUGUGUCACUGACACAAACGCCAAAUCAACACGAUGCAGCAAAUGAACAUCCUUUUCACCACUGGUGGUGAAACAACAGGCGAUUCACAUGUGGAAAGACAGAGA
rnacentral:lncRNA from 1 species